UACGUAGGGUGCAAGCGUUGUCCGGAAUUAUUGGGCGUAAAGAGCUCGUAGGCGGUCUGUCGCGUCGGCUGUGAAAACCCGGGGCUCAACUCCGGGCCUGCAGUGGGUACGGGCAGACUAGAGUGCGGUAGGGGAGACUGGAAUUCCUGGUGUAGCGGUGAAAUGCGCAGAUAUCAGGAGGAACACCGGUGGCGAAGGCGGGUCUCUGGGCCGUAACUGACGCUGAGGAGCGAAAGCGUGGGGAGCGAACAGG
rnacentral:rRNA from 1 species